rnacentral:rRNA from 1 species
CCUACGGGGGGCAGCAGUGAGGAAUAUUGGUCAAUGGCCGGAAGGCUGAACCAGCCAUGCCGCGUGAAGGUCAGUGCCCUAUGGGCGUUAAACUUCUUUUGUGCGGGAGCAAUAAUGGUCACGUGUGGCCAGACGAGAGUACCGUACGAAUAAGCAUCGGCUAACUCCGUGCCAGCAGCCGCGGUAAUACGGGGGAUGCAAGCGUUAUCCGGAUUUAUUGGGUUUAAAGGGGGCGUAAGCUGUGAGGUAAGUCAGCGGUGAAAUGCCCCCGCUCCACGGGGUGAAGUGCCAUUGAUACUGCCUUGCUGGAAUGCGGAUGCGGUGGGAGGAAUGUGUGGUGUAGCGGUGAAAUGCAUAGAUAUCACACAGAACACCGAUUGCGAAGGCAGCUCACGAAUCCGCGAUUGACGCUGAUGCACGAAAGCGUGGGUAUCAAACAGGAUUAGAUACCCUUGUAGUC